rnacentral:rRNA from 1 species
AUUGAACGCUGGCGGCAGGCCUAACACAUGCAAGUCGAACGAGUGGCGGACGGGUGAGUAAUGUCUGGGAAACUGCCUGGUGGAGGGGGAUAACUACUGGAAACGGUAGCUAAUACCGCAUACCAUCAGCUGUGCCCAGAUGGGAUUAGCUUGUUGGUGGGGUAACGGCUCACCAAGGCGACGAUCCCUAGCUGGUCUGGGAGGAUGACAGGCCACAUGGGAGCGGAAACACGGUCCAGACUCCUGAGGGAGGCAGCAGUGGGGAAUAGUGCACAAUGGGCGCAAGCCUGAUGCAGCGAUGCCGCGUGUAUGAAGAAGGCCUUCGGGUUGUAAAGUACGUUCAGCGGGGAGGCGUUACCCGCAGAAGAAGCACCGGCUAACUCCGUGCCAGCAGCCGCGGUAAUUC